CGUGUUGGACGCCACAUAAACACUGAGUUUUGUAAAAGACACAGACUUUGGAGCGCAGCCAAAAUGCCAGGAACCAAAGGUAACAAAUCUGACAAGAAAUCAGCUACCAAGCAACCUCAGAGUCCUAAGGAGCAACCGAAGAAAGCUGAUCAGAAAGGAGAUGAUAACAAAAAGCAAGGAGGACAGCCAAAGGGAGAGAAGCAAUAAUUUCCAGACAUUUGUGAAGAUGGCUCUGGAGACUCUGCUGGGAUCCUGCCAUCACAAGAAUGGGGAUCCUCGGGGUAGGCAAGGCUGAAGAGCAGCCUCCCAUCCUCUCCCCACCUCCUUGGACCUGCAGACAGGUCAUCGCUACACAACUGCGCUCACCUGUUCUCACAAGGGCAGAAAGUGUCCCAGAUUUCCAUCCAUCAGUGAUCCACUGUGUGCCCUUUCUUCCCACCCUGUUUCCCCUCCCUCAUUGUCUGCUCUGGAUUGUAGGACGCUUGGAAAUGGAUGGUCACGAGGUCAAACCAAGCCAAUGCUCUGAGCUUCCCCAGAAACCGAAACCUUCAUCUACCCAAUCUUUCACUCUCUUCCUAUCUAAAGUUCCUUAUUUUGAUCAACUGUCUAACGGUCCAAACCAUUCUUGUAAAUAAGCAAAUAAACUAUUAUUUCCUAAAACAGUC